GUCAAAUCCUGAUCUAAAGGGAGGCAUCUUCCUUCUUAUGGCAUGGCCAUGUCUCCUGUGUUCCUUCCUCAAGCCAAAUCCUUUUCCACGAUGCCUUCCCCUCUGAGCCCUGUAUAACCCAAUAGUGCAAAUAUUCCCACAUCCCCUACCCACAACAGGGGUGAGCACAUUGCAAAUGUUCCGCCGGCGAAUCAGCACCUGCCUGGAGGUGUUCUUGGUGUCUGCGUCCUGCCUCCAGUACAGAGGACCUCAAAUCCAUGAUACUUCACCUGGUGCUCCCCAGGAAAGCCUGGCAGAGGACCUGACGAUUCCCAGCAAGACCAAGCACUGCUGUCCAGGGUCAGCCACGGUCACUUCUCUGCAGCUGUCAUCCGGGCACAAUCUCCAAAUAUUUCUAGCCAUUCAGACGUUCACUAUAAUCAGAAUUAACGCAUGUAGAACCAAAGAGCCAGACACAUGGGUUCAAACCUGCCCCACCAUUUACAGUGAGAGCUUAGUGAGUCACUUAACCUGUGCCUCAGUUUUCUCACCUGUAAAAAGAACAUAACAGUAACAAUACCAUUGAGCUGCUAUGCAGUGGAUGAGCUUCUAUAUGAAAGGUUGCUCCAUGACGGGCAGCUGUAUCGUCUUAGAACCGGACUUUCCGGGAGAGCCUUUGGGUCACUCUGGGCGUCAGCUGGAAAGGGCUGCUCUUGGAGCAAGCUCACUGGCCCACAGGAGGAGCUGCCUUCUUGAACUGUCACCCUGAAGCCAACCAAAGUCUGGGCAACGCCAGCUCCAGUGACUGCCGCUCCAUCUCCUAGGCAAUUUGCAUCGCUGUUUCUGUUUGUUAGGCCUUGACCAUUCCUUUGUUGUCAUCCUGCGCUUCCCUGGCCAUAGGCCUUUUCCCAGCCCCACCACGGCAUGCCCACCUGUGCUUGGGGAGGGGCGGAGGAAGGAGCCCCAGCCAGCCAUGUCCCUGUUUCGUGCUCCAGUGACCACUGCUAUGAGGACUUUCCCACUGGCUCAGGCUCAGUUAGUCGAGCUGGUGUGCCCCGCUCUUAGCUGUUCCCCAACUCUCCUAGAGUGUGCUAAUUCUGACCCAGCUCUCCCAGGUGGAGGAUGCUUUUCAAACAUGUCCUUGGGAACCUCUGCAGACCCAUUCCCAGCCCAUUCUCCAUGAUUCCAGGCCUGGCCAGGUUGAAAACUUCUGUAAAUUAAAACUCAAAUAAAGAGAGUAUAGCUUGGGCAUACCUUUUGCACAUGCAUAUAUAUGUAUGUGUGUGCAUGUGUGUGUGUGCAUGUAUGUGUGUGCAUGUAUGUGUGUGCAUGUGUUG
rnacentral:lncRNA from 1 species